AAGUCGUAACAAGGUUUCCGUAGGUGAACCUGCGGAAGGAUCAUUACCUUUUUAUACAUGAAGAAUUGUGAGCAAGCUCACCAACUCUCUGUAUAUUACCCGUGUCUAUUGUGCGCUCUUGUUUCCUCAGCAGGCUAGCCUGCUAGUUGGACAAACCUGUAACCUUUUUAAUUUUUAAUCGGCGUUUAAAAUAAUUAAUUACAACUUUCAACAACGGAUCUCUUGGUUCUG
rnacentral:misc_RNA from 1 species